rnacentral:tRNA from 1 species
GCGGGUGUAGCUCAGCUGGUUAGAGCACUAGAUUGUGGAUCUAGGGGUCGUGGGUUCAAAUCCCAUCACUCGCCCCA